rnacentral:rRNA from 1 species
UACAGAGGAGCCAAGCGUUGUCCGGAUUGACUGGGCGUAAAGCGCACGCAGGCGGUUGCGCGCGGGGGGUGGGAAAUCUGGCCGCUUAACGGCCAGGCGCCAUCCCAUACGGCGCGACUGGAGUGAUGCAGAGGUCGAUGGAAUUGCCGGUGUAGUGGUGAAAUGCGUAGAGAUCGGCAGGAACACCCAGGGGGAAACCAGUCGACUGGGCAUCUACUGACGCUGAGGUGCGAGAGCGUGGGGAGCAAACAGG